UGGUCACCUGAACAGAAACGGUUAAAAUUGAGUCUAUACGCGACAAAAAAUAGUACAUGAUUUCCGGUUUAAAGUGAAAGUACGUUACUAAGGGGAUACUCAGUGCAGCAUACUCAGUUUAUAAUUGCUGUUAUACAAUACGGAUAUGAGCUUAAUGCAAAGUUCUGGAAUCACCAUAUUUCAAAGGAUACUGUUGAGAGAGGGUUUUUUGUUCGUGAAUUAAAUAGAGGAAAUAUGACAGGUGUAACAGGCGAUUUUGAAGGUUUGGAAAACUUUAAUUUGGAAGACCUCCAUGAAUUGCGACAUGAAGAAAAGGAAGAAGUUAAAAAACAGAUUGAAGCCAUAUAUAUUGAGGCAACCUCUUUGGAGAAAAAAGCCAGAGAAUUGGGUAUGAAUUGUGUUUUCUCAUUUAUGCCCAAACCGCCACAAAUGUCGUGAUAUUUUUCAUACAGUAUUGUAUAGAUUACGCUGUUUAGAUCAUACAAUUGAGAAAUAAUUCAUUUAGGCUUGAAUUUAUACUGAUUUUACCACGGAUUGACCUUUUAUGCUAAAUAUUUUACAACGACCGAUGGCAUGGAUAAUAUGCUCUUCAUUUUUUAAAACUUUAUUCAGCUACGAUCAAUUAUCCUUGGCCAAUUUGUAAUGGCUCAGCGACUGCGUA